rnacentral:rRNA from 1 species
GAUGAACGCUGGCGGCGUGCCUAAUACAUGCAAGUUGUGCGGUAACAGAGAGAGCUUGCUCUCUGCUGACGAGCGGCGGACGGCAGAGUAACGCGUAGGAACAUACCCCAAACUGAGGGAUAACUGCUCGAAAGAGUAGCUAAUACCGCAUGUGGUCUUCGGAUUAAAGCUUCGGCGGUUUGGGAGCGGCCUGCGUCCGAUUAGCUAGUUGGUGAGGUAAUUGCUCACCAAGGCGACGAUCGGUAGCUGGUCUGAGAGGAUGAUCAGCCUGACUGGAACUGAGAACGGUCCAGACUCCUACGGGAGGCAGCAGUAGGGAAUUUUCCACAAUGGGCGAAAGCCUGAUGGAGCAACGCCGCGUGCAGGAUGAAUGCCUUCGGGUUGUAAGCUGCUUUUCUGUGUGAAGAAUAUGACGGUAACACAGGAAUAAGGGUCGGCUAACUACGUGCCAGCCGCCGCGGUAA